UUUAUUAACACUACUUCCAUAUUUUAUUAACGGCUACAGUGGGGACGAACAAAACAACAGCGGCUCAAUCUCUCUCUCUCUCUCUCUCUCAUCUUUCAUCUUCCCUUUCUCCUUUGUUUUUUCUCUCUCUCUUUACGAUAGCUACCUUUCUAUGUUCAAAUGAACACAAUUAAAAGAAUCGGGGUUCUCGCGACGCAGAGCGAAAACAUCACGAGAAAAAAACUUAUAAUGAUGUAGCC
rnacentral:lncRNA from 1 species